GACGAACGCUGGCGGCGCGCCUAACACAUGCAAGUCGAACGAGCGAGAGAGAGCUUGCUUUCUCGAGCGAGUGGCGAACGGGUGAGUAACGCGUGAGGAACCUGCCUCAAAGAGGGGGACAACAGUUGGAAACGACUGCUAAUACCGCAUAAGCCCACGACCCGGCAUCGGGUAGAGGGAAAAGGAGCAAUCCGCUUUGAGAUGGCCUCGCGUCCGAUUAGCUAGUUGGUGAGGUAACGGCCCACCAAGGCGACGAUCGGUAGCCGGACUGAGAGGUUGAACGGCCACAUUGGGACUGAGACACGGCCCAGACUCCUACGGGAGGCAGCAGUGAGGAAUAUUGCACAAUGGGGGAAACCCUGAUGCAGCGACGCCGCGUGGAGGAAGAAGGUCUUCGGAUUGUAAACUCCUGUUGUUGAGGAAGAUAAUGACGGUACUCAACAAGGAAGUGACGGCUAACUACGUG
rnacentral:rRNA from 1 species